CCUAUUAGAAAACUUGUCAUGGGUCUAUUGACCCCGAGUUAAUUACAGAUGAAUCAUAUCUAUGUGUUGAAGAAGAAUAUAUGUUUGUUUAAACCAAUCCAUUAUCCUUUGGGGGUCAGGAAAAAAGCUUACUCUGCUUUCGAGUAAGGAUUCCUCAAUCAUACACCAAUUGAGAGCAGAAUUGAAGUAAACCAAGAAAGAAAUUAAUCAAUUUAGAUGGUUGCAUCUAAGGCACAACUAUAUGGAAAUAGCUUGAUUAUUAACGGAUGUCACCAAUGAUAAGAAGUGGACAAAGAUAAGAAGGCGAAGGCCUAUAGAAAAAGCAUUCAGGAUUUAGUAUUUCCUAUCCCCUGCGUGGGACAUCAUUCUUUUUCUCAUGUGAUUUUCCUUUCCCUAAAGAUUGUACCCCCUUUGUGCAACUUUUGAAGGAGUUUAUGCCAUUUAUGUAUAUCUAUGAAAUUGGGGGGAUAAUGGAUUGGCUUUAAAAAAUACAUAUUUUCUUCAACGUUCGUUAGACCUAAACCCCUGGCUCAAAAGGGUCAAUCUAAUUAGGAUACACGUUAUUAUAAUGCUUUUAUGCGAUAUAACUGCCUUAUGUGUUUAUGUGUGUUUGUUUGAAUCAAAGGCAAGUUUAUCCACUAUGCUCAUGUGGAUCAAUUUGGCUACGACACAAAUGACUCUACGUGGUUAUUUCUUAUCAAGUAUCUUACAUUACUUAUCACAUAUGGAAACUAACACAUCUACCUUCGAGUUAUUUUACUUUAUAGAUAAUAGAAAACUACUCCGUGUUGAAAUAAGCUGGCAGAACAUCCUUACUUCACUCGGUCAAAAGCGCAUAAGAUACCAUCCCCUAAUUAUCAUUCAAACAUGACUGGAAGUGAUGAAAAUGCAUUGACUAUUAGGGACAAUGUGAUAAUGAAACAAAGUGAGAUGAUUGCUGAACUCGUGAGAAAAUAGAAAAUGCUUUAAGAGGAGAUGAAUCGUACUCGAGAUGUGGCUAACCUGGCCAUCACUAUAGAUCUACCGGAAGGAUACAAAGUCCCUAAAUUUAAAGUGUUCGAUGGUGCUAAAAAUCCUAUGGCCUAUCUGAGGAGGUAUCAUGAUCAAAUGGUGGGAUAGGGAAAAAUAAGGCAUUAUUGAUGCGCCUGUUGAGCCAAAGCUUAAAAAGCGAAGCCUUAUAUUGGUUCACAUCUCAAGAAUUGAAAAGAUAGACUAGUUGGAGGGCAUUGUCUAAAGGUUUCCUUGAUAGGUUUGAGUUUAAAAUUGAAAUAGUCCCUGAGUGGUACUCAUUAGACUGGACCAAGCAGAAGAAUGAUGAGUGUUUCCGAGACUAUGCCUUCCGUUGAUGGAAAAAAGCUGCGAAAGUACAACCUCCCAUGUCUGAGAAGAAAAUGGCAUCGAUUUGAUCUCGCACUUAGGAGGGAUAAUUUUUCACUAGGAUGGUAUCUGCAGUUAGGAAACUUUUAUAGAUUUGGAAAAAAUCAAGGAAUCGCUAGAGGAAGGCAUUCGAACGGGAAAGAUUGUCAAAAGCCCAACAUCAUCGGAAUCUUCUACAUUCUAAAAGAAGAAAAGAGAGGAUGUGAUUGUGGUGUCUACUAAUUUUGUGGAUAAAUUAAAGAAGAAAUUCAAUCCAUGGAAUAUUCUUUCUUCAUCUCCAUCAUCAAGUUUUCAGCUUGUAUUCUAUGCCCAAUCCCAAUAUCAAGCUCCACUUCCAAAUAUUUUACCCUAGUACGAAGUUCCGUAGCCAAAUUAUCAGUCUCAUGUUCAAGAUAUUCUUCCAAACAACCAAAAAAACAUACAAGUGCCUCGAAAUAAUCAUCAAGUACCUCUUACUGCGAAUCAAAUCAGUAUGACCCCCAACAUCCAAAGCUCAAAAAAAAAUCUCCCCGAAACUUCACAUCGUUAUCUGAAAGUUGCACCCAACUCUUUGGGAGAUUAAAGGAUGCCGGUCAUUUACAGCCUAUCAAGUUAAAUCUUAUCAAUCCCAACUCCUAAUUUUAUCAUGCCGAUCAAAAUUGUGCUUAUCAUUUAGAAGCGGUGGGGCACAACACUGAGGAGUGCGUUAUCUUAAAGUAUAAGAUUCAAGAUCUUAUUGAUCAGAAGGUCAUCACGCUUCAAUUUCCGACACCAAACGUCAAUAGUAAUCUAUUUCCUAAUCACAAAGAAGGCACGGUUAGCAUGAUCGAAAUAGAAGGCGAAUGGGUUUCUAGCAAAACUAUUACUAAGGUGGAUUCAAAAAAUUCCAAAAAAAAAUAAAAAAAGUAGAAAAGAUAGAGAAACUCGUGGCUGCUUUGAGUAUCUUGAGUAAGAAUUUGGAAGAAAUCAUUGAGCCUAUUAUGGUCCCAGAAAAAGCAUCUAAGUAUGGGUUAGGAUACCAGCCAAUAGAGGAGGAUAAAAUUGAGGAUAAGUCAAAGACUAGUCUGCAUAGGCCUUUGCCUCUCAUGUACCAGUCAUUUCUCAUGCGUGAGAUGUCAAAUGAUGAUGGCCUUGGGGUUGGGAUAGGAAAUCUGUUCGAGGGAUGCAAUAUUAUAUCAAAAAAUUUUCUAAAGUCCAGUGGGGUGAAGAAGGUUGCACCAAUAGAAGCUUUGCAAAACUAGACCCCCACUACAUUCAUAACUUGUCGCCCGUCAUGAUAGAUGAAAGCGAAAUUACUAGUAGUUUUAAAAAAUUGGUGAUGAUCCGUAGGAGGCCCCGUGAUGCACCUUUUUAUAUCCCAAAUUUUUAUUUCAUUUUUUAUAGCUUUCAAAAAGGCAUGGGCCCACAUUUGCGCAGGUCAUGAGCCAUAGUUUUUAUUUAUUUUUCAAAAGGCCUCCCUUCAUUUUAGAAUUUAUUUUUGAAAUAUGAUUAUAUUAUUAUCUUGUUAUCAUCUAACUUGGUUUAUUUCAAAAGACUAAUUUAAAGCUUGCCAAUGUCAUGUCAUGUCAAGGAUUAGACGAAUAAAGCAAGGGGAAUAAUGAUGAAUAGAAAAGGUGAUGAGGAGCAGUUAGAGGAAGAAAUAGAGGAAUUUGAAAAUUAAAAGAAGCCAAACCUGGAGGAGCCCUAAUCCUACCUGAGAUUGAUGGCCAAGAGUUGACCAAACCAAUCAAUUCUGAUGCGGUAAAGACAUACUGUGUUUGAAAGAUGUUUUAGUUUUUGUUUCCUUGGCUUAUUUGUAAUCGUCUUUAUGAUAGUAUCUAUUUUAUGAUGUGUAAUUUCCUAGAAUCUUUUUCCUUUUAUGUACGAACUAUGUUUGACCUUAAUUCCCAAGAAAAGGAUACGUAGGUGGCCCAUAUCGGCUUCGCUCAACCCCUUAGGAAAAUUUAUACUUUUCUUUCAUGUAUAAACUACGUAAUGACCUGAAUUCUCAAGAAUGAGAUACAUAGGCGGCCUAUGUUGGCUUCAGUCAACUCAUUAAAUUUUUCUAUAUAUCUCCAGAGUAGGCCUGAACUAUGUUUAACCUAAUUCUUGCUUCAAUAGGAUAUAUAGGCGCCCUAACAGCUCGAUCCUGUAACCCCAAAAAAUAAAAACUGGGGCAGAAUUUUUGAGAAGGAAUCUCAAAAAUUCACAAGAAGAAGAUCAUCAUCCUACAAAGAGAACAAAGACUAACAAAGACUUCAGAUCCUCUCGAGUUGAUAUCAUAUCAAACAACUUUAAACUGGGGAAAAAAUUUUGAGGAAGGCCUCCAAAUUUCCACCAAACACUGGAUAUAUUUCAAAUUUCCCAGCAGUAGAGGUCAAAGUCAAACUUUUGAAGUCACUAGUUGUGACAAAGUCUAGGUAGACUCAAUUUUCUGCUAUGACAGAACUAUUUGAAGAACCCUCCAACAAUGAUUAUGAGUUUUUGAAAUUCUCCGUUGGAUAUAGUCAAAACCAAGAGGAAGACGUUUGUUGAGCUAGUACAUGACAUGACUGGCAGAGAUUUUCUAAAACUUUUUAGAAACUUUCGAAACUAUUUUCUAAAAUUAAGACUACUUUUAAAAAUCUAUACAAAUUUUUUACUUAGUGAUUGCCUAGACGCCUAUUGGAGAAAGGAGCCGGGAUGGAGGUACCAAUAUGACGAAGCACCUGAAAGAUGGUGAGGAGCAAAUAAAGGAGUGAAGAAGGUCAACACGGAGUAGUUUCACUCAAACAAAUCAUUUUUCUAUGGAUGCAGGGAUCAAUACACAAAAAUAAGUCUUUUUUAAAAAAUCCUCGAGCAAGUUAGGAGCCACACCAGAGAAUAUGAUGCUCGAGAAGGGUAUUUUUUGGUACCCCCAAAGAUAGGUUAAUACACAUUUAUUAAAGACCUUUUGAAUUGUCUAUAUCAUUUCUUGAGACCAUGAAGGACAAACAAAGGCGUCAUAUCUUCUUUAUAAAUAUUGUAUUGAGAAUUGUUCUAAAAAAUAGCCCCUAGCAAAAGUGACUUUAUGUCUACUGACUAUCUACCUUGUGCACAGGUACACAUAUAAAACAAAAAUGUAGACAAAAGGAUUCAGGCGAAACCAUCUUCAUUGUCCAAAGGGCCAUUCUAUCUCAUUCCAUUGCCAAGAGGGCCAUUGCAUAUCAUCCUCAUUAAAUAUCUAAUGAUGUGCAAGAUAUCAUACGCUGGCGCCAAGGGUAUCAUCUGCAUUAAAUAUCUGAUAAAGCAUGAGAUAUCAUAUGCUGGCAUCGAGGGUAUCAUCUGCAUUAAAUAUCUGAUGACGCGCGAGCUACCAUACACUGGCAUCGAGGGUAUUAUUUGCAUUAAAUAUCUGAUGACGCAUGAGAUAUCAGACGCUGGUAUGGAGGGUAUCAUCUGUAUUAAAUAUAUGAUGACGCACGAGAUAUCAUACGCUGUCGUUGAGGGUAUCAUUUGCACUAAAUAUCUGAUGAUGCACGAGAUAUCAUGCGCUGCCGUUGAAGGUAUCAUUUGUAUUAAAUAUUUGAUGAUGCGUGAGAUAUCAUACGAUGACGUUGAGGGUAUCAUCUACAUUAAAUAUCUGAUGACACGCAAGAUAUCAUAUGCUAGCAUCAAGGGUAUCAGCUGCAUCAAAUAUCAAAUAACGCACGAGAUAUCAUACGCUAGUGUCGAGGGUAUCAUCAGCACUAAAUAUCUUAUGAAGUGCUAGAUAUCACACACUGGCAUUGAGGGUAUCAUUUGUAUUAAAUAUCUGAUUACAUAUGAGAUAUCAUACACUAGCAUCGAGGGUAUCAUAUGCAUUAAAUAUCUGAUAGCGCAUGAGAUAUCAUACACUAGCAUCGAGAGUAUCAUCAUCUAAUAUCUAUUGACACGCGAGAUAUCAUACGCUGGCAUCGAGGAUAUCAUCAAUAUCUAAUAUCUAUUGACACGUGAGAUAUCAUAUACUGGCAUCGAGGAUAUCAUCAUCAUCAAUAUCUGUUGACAUAUGAGAUAUCAUAUGCUAGCAUCGAGAAUAUCAUCAUCAUCAAUAUCUCUUGAGACGCAGGAUAUCAUAUGCUAGUGUUGAGGGUAUCAUCAGCAUCUAAUAUCUCUUGACACCUCAGAUAUCAUACGCUGGCAUUGAGGAUAUCAUCAUCAUCAAUAUCUGUUGACAUGCGAGAUAUCAUACACUGGCGUCGAGGAUAUCAUUAAUAUUUACUAUCUGUUGACAGACGAGAUAUCAUACACUAGCGUCGAGGAUAUCUCAUCUUGAAUCAGCAUUUGAGUACAUCAGAAACACGAGAUUCAAACUACACAUGAGAUUUCCUAGAAAUUGAUAAUUUGAGGUUCAUCUAUUUGUCAUAUUAUUUGAAAUACGAUAGUAUGCAAGAUUACCUUUGAGUUGAUAGACCAUUAGUCAUCCGUAAGCCGCAACAGCAUCCUAACCGGAUAGUGUGCAAGGUUACCCAAAAAUUGAUAGAUCAAAGGUUAUACAUAAGUCGCAAAAUCCUUACUGAAGAAUAUAUGAGAUUAUCAAAUUGAUAAGUCCAAGGUUUCUUUAUAAGCAGCGUCAUAUCCAAGAUCAAUUAUGUGUAGAAUUACCCAAGGACUAGCAAUUUAAGAGAUAUCUAUAAGUCAUAUUGUAUCCAAGGUUGGAUGAUAUGUAGGAAUAUCUGAUAACUAGAGAUUGGAGGGAUAUAUGUAAGUCAUCUCUUAUUCAAGGUUGUGUAAUGUGCAGGGUUACCUAAAGGCUAGCAAUUCAGAGGAUAUUUGUAAUUCGCCUCAUAUCCAACAUCAAAUAAUGUGCAAGAUUAUCCAAAGAUUGUCAAUUCAAGGGAAAUUUAUAAGUCAUAUCGAUACAAAAGAUGUGCAAGACUUACUCGAGAUCAUAUGAAAAGAAUUAGUAUCAAUAAUCGGAAAGGUUAUCAUUCCAACAACAAGCAUUAUAGGUGACCAAAAGGGUUUCCGCAUCAACAAAAGAUUACACGAUUACAGGGACUAUUCUACAUAAAGUGUCGGCACUGUCCAAAAAGGACACCCACUAUACGGACAUAUUCAAUCUACAGAUGAGACAAUUAUACAACAACCAAGAGGAUUUUUAUGUCUGUUGUUCCAAGUUAUUUUCUUCCAAAUAGGUACACAAAAGGAUGACUUCGCUUUUCACGCAACAACCCAUGUGGAGAUAUGGUAAAAGACCACAGACCUCUUUCGUGAAUUAUGUUUAGCACUAACACUUUUGUUUGAAAUAUUGUCGAAAGCAUCCGGGAGGAUGAAAAUCUCAAAUCAAAACCAUAGGUAUGGAUGAUUCCAGAUAGGACGUAGCACAAUGUGGAACUCUUUCUUAGCAGCAAAAUGGGAUGUAGUCUAAAAAAGGACGUCAAACUCCUUAAAAUCGAGCUAAAAGAUGAUCGCCACCACCAUCCAACUACACCUCUAUUAGAAGGCAUUUGGGAAUAUUCUGGUUUCAGCUUCACCUUUGAGAUAUUUCUAACCUCAUACCGAGGGUAAACUUCUCUUUCUUUCAAAUUCGAGUGAUAGGGCACCUAGAGUUUUGGAAAUUAUGUUCAGGUAAGUUCUUACCUAUGGAUGUGAAGAGAUCAAUGUUCAUGGUUAAGAGGUUACAAGCCUCUUUUUCAUAACUCGAACAACUUUUCACUCAUCUUGAGCCAAAGAUCGUCUGAAAUAAAAGACUAUCUUUUCUACCGAUUAAGUCAAACUACAAGUAGUCUGAUUCCCUGAGUCUUGGGGAUAUGUAGGUUGGGAUCUAUACAAAAAAAUUGACUGCAUUCCAACUUCCCCCCAAAUCCCUCUAUUCCCCAGCUUUUCAAUUUUACCAAACAACUCCAAAACUAAGAUAGUUGGUGAAUUUUUUGAAAUCACGCUUCAAAUCAAGAUUUAUGAACUACAAGUGGCCUGAAUUAUCAUGAAAGUUGAGAUAUGAAGGAAACUUGAUACUGAGGUCUGUCCAUAACUCCAUGAAACUCGUGCGAAAAUCGACCUCUUUCAGAUUCAAAUUUUGUUGUCAGACAAAAAAUUAGAAAUGUCAACCUCUCUUUGCCCAGGGUUAAUUGCUUCCACCCUACCCAAAGGGAAGGGGAAGUUGUUGACACCUAAUUUUUUUCCUCCGCGACUAAAUUUCAUCUUGGGUUUCUUCAAUUUUUAGUUAAAAGUGAAAUAUUUAUUUCAUCUUGAUAAAUGCGCUCUAGAAUAUUUAUUUUGGCUAAUUGCGUUAUUUAAGUGACGACUAUACAUUUUCAUAUUCACGUAUAUGAGAUCUUAUUAAUUUUGUUACUUAAAUGAAUAUUUUUAUAGAAUAUUAGACUUUUAUUUAGAUUGAGCUUGAAAAUUAUUUCAAAAAGGGUAAAAUCUUGAUCUAAAUAUAAUUUGUUCUUGAAAAUAGUUUAUUUGGAAAAUAUGAAUUUGAUUUUUGUUAAAUGAAGAAGCCCGAGAUUAAACAAGGUAUUAAUUCGUAUCAAAUUUUGAUUUAAUUUAGUUAAUUUAUUAAGUUCGGUCAUAAUUGAAAUCGAUUGGCCACAAUCACAAAGCAAUUGAUCAAAUUGAUUUUUUAAUUUGAUCAAAAUCUUAAUCAAAUUAGGCUAAAUCCUAAAUUUGGGGGUUAUGUUUUAAAUAAACCCCCAAACUAAUCCAAUUCAACAUCAGCACCACCCAGGCCCAAUAUUUUCAUCACCAGAUCAAUACCCUCGUCAGGCAUAACAACGACCUGACCCAAAACCUUUAAUUCUAUUCUUUUCCUUCAAAACAACAACAUCAUCGACAAUAAUACAAUACAACACACCAAAGCAACGACUUCAACAUUGACCAACAUCAACGCAAUCUCUCAUCAAGAACAACAAACCCAAACCUAUACCCAAUCACAACACCAAAAUCGAAACUUCAACCCGAAUUAAAUCUCGACAACUCGAAUUAAAAUAACUGCUAAAUCCAAAUCCAAAAACCUUUUCAAAUUUGGAAUGUUUGUACUAUUCUCGUACAACAUAUAGCUGUCAAACUGCAUCACCAAAAAGGAAUUCCUAAAAAACCCAAAAUUACCCCCGUUGACCUCUUUUCCCACAUCGAUUGAACACUAAAUGGGGAGCCCAGAUUUCCCUAUAAAAGAGACACGGCAGAGAGGAAAGAGACCAAGUCUAAAAAAGAGGGAAAAACCAUUUUUGAGUAAAAUCAAUAAAAAAUUUUAUUUUUAGAAAAAAAAUUAGCCGUCAUUGGUUGGAAUUCUCAAAGAAUCGACUUCCGGUGGUGGUGGAGUCCGACAUUAGCUCGAUGUUCUAUUUUGCUGCUCUGAAAGAGGUAAACACCUCUUUCUUUGAUAUUUGUUAUCAUUUUUUUCUUCUUUAUGAAUCCAUAGUCGUAAAUGUUGUUUGCUGGGAAUAAGUUAUUAUAGACAGGCUUGAAGGCCAUAGUCUCAUUUGAUAAAGAUUGUGGCUUUCAACGUAUUGAUGUGUUAGCAUAUUUAGGUUUCUGGUUUCUAUUUAUUUUCAUAAAAGUUUGCUAUUUUUGAUUUUCCAUUGGUGAUCUUAGCUUUUUAGUUCUUUAAAGUUUGAAUGUUGCUCAAAGUAUAUGUUUUGCUUGUUAAUCCUCGAUUCAUGUUAUCGGUGUUUCCACAUGCUUGGUUUCUGAUUGAUUGAACAUUGUUUAAUAUAGGAUUAGACUAGUGUUCUUAUCAUGGUUGUUAGCUUACAUGUUUAAUUGAAAGAUUUAUUUCGUAAAGUUCACUUUUGGUGUUUUGUUUUAAAUGGAGACUGGGGUUUAAGUUUCUUUGUCCUUUAAUACUAAUGUUAGAAACUAAACCAUAACAAGGUCACCAAUCCAAUGACUUCUUAAAAAUUAUUUCUACUCUUGUAGAUCAUUUCUUAGAAUGUUGAAAGAGGAUGGGGAUUAGAAUGGUAUGAUCUCACAUUUUUCUUCUCCAACAGAUUGUUUGAUUUUCUCUUAAAACAUGUUUUUUGUAGUGUAGUAUGUGCUUAUUUUUUCAUCUAAAUCAAAGUCUCUUUUUGGGAAAUAAAAGAUAGAGUCUCUACACGCGCUUGGUAUUCAUAUUAUUGAGUAUAAUUUAUCGUGACAAAAUAGCGUGGUUGGCAUUUGGAGUUAUACACUUUCGAGUACCUUAGCCCUUUUUAAAACAAUCUAACUAGAACUCUACCCUUGCGUUUUCCAAAACCUUGCAGUAACUCUAAGGAAAAUAUAAUACUCACUUUAUCUAGUGUGGAUAUGAUGUUUACCUUUGUUAAAUUAUAGAUAUUUUGUCUCCUGUAGAUGGGAUCUUUCUAAAUUUGUGUAAAUUGUCAAUUCUUGUUUUUUUAGGAGUUCAAUUAGGUUUGUGGCCAGGUCCCGUUCUUCAUUUAUUCCUAACCUUCAAGUUUCUCUUGAAUUGAAUCAGUGUUAGUUUGAGAGAUGGAAUCUAUUAUCGGAUAAAAGUUAAUUGCGAAGUUAUCCUAGAAAAGCGUGAUCUCUUGCAAAUCUUUUGGUGCAAAAACUAUUAAAGAAUCCAAUAUGAAUGCAUAAGAUGGUGUAACCCCAGUUGGUGUGCAUUUUAUUUCUUCAAAUUACAAUAAAUUAGUUUUUCUAUCAUACAGUAUGUUUGAAAUCAUUAAGGUGAUUGAUUAUUUGAAUAUCCAUUUUCCUUAUCUUAUUUUUAUUAUCCAUUUUAUUGUUGCUUGUCUUUGGUCCAUUCAUUUAUUAUUGAAAUUUGGAUUCCUUAAAAUGGUCACUAGUAGAAGGAUAUCACGAGGUAUCAUUUUGGUGUUCUUACUUUUAAAAUUGGUUUUGAAUAGGGUAAUAUUUAAGUAUCAGGUUUCUAAUGUGUUGAUUUACUUUUCCCUUUGCAUUUUGGAUAUGUUUUGAUUUCUUUUCUUUCAUCUUUCGCAUAUGAAUCCGCUUUGGAGUUCAAACCAGCUCCCUCCUUUUUGCAUUUCAUAAUGGGCCAAUAAGGCCCAUCUUUUGAGUCGAGUUCUGCAAUUACUGCAAGAUCGAUUGACUUUUGGAUAAAGAAGUUGAUAUUGAUGGAAGAGGAAAAUAGGUUGAUACCCAUUGGUGAAAAUUUGUCAAACUUGUAUUGUUUGUUUUAUUAUUUUUUUCUGCUUCUUUAUCUAUUUAUUCAUUCAUUUGGGCCUCGAAGCCAAAGUUGUAAUUUUAAUACAGGUCAAGCGGAUUUUGGGCCAAAAGGUCCAAAAAAAUGAUUCGAGACAGGUUAUGGGCUAAAAGCUCAAUAUUUAGAUUAAGACAGGUGACGACGGGACAAAAGCCCAAAUGGAUAGUUUAGGACAGGUGCAAGCAGGUUUGGGACUAAAAGCCUAAUCUCAUUUUUUACCUUUUACUUUUCUAUGUUUAUUUGCUAUUUGUGCCUUAAAAUUUAGUUAAAUUCCUUACUAAGUCAUCAAAUUGAUUUUACACAAGUUUUGUUUUAAAUCACUUUUUUUUAAAAAUCAAUCUUUUUAAAGUUAGUCAAAAGAUAUUUUCAAACAGUCCGGAUAACCGCAAGUUAGCGAACGUUUUAGAUGUCUUAAACCUUCUUAAAACGUUAAUAAGAACCGCUUACUCAGAAUCUUUAAAUUUUAAUGAUUUUUUCUGUUUUGGAUCGUUUAAAGUAUUUCAUAAAGAUUUUUUAAUUCCUUUUCAAAAUUAAGUGGCGACUCUGAAAGGAAAAUUUUUGCAAAACAAAAAUGGUGACUCUGCUGGGGAUUCUAACUAGGUUCUAACCAAAUGUUUGAUUUCAUCUAUUGACUAACUGUUUAAAUUGCUUACGUAUUUAUGUGUUUCAAUUUUGCAGAAUUUAAUUAUUGCAUUUGAUGGCAUGGUCCUGCAUUGAUUAUUAAUUUGUUUUGGGGGGUUUUGUGGAUGUCCCAACCCUUAUUGUUCACCUCUAAAUCAAAUGUUGGAAAUAUGACAGUUUACUGGCACAUUGGGCAGUCGAAGGCUGAUCAUGUUUUCAAACUCAAGUUUUUCGCUUGGGAACAUGUGUCCAAACCCACUCUAGACACCUAGGAUAUAGCGAAACCAAAACCCUAUUUUAGGUAUAAGUCUAGAACGACUAUUGUGCCUAUUAGAAAACUUUCCAUGCAUCUAUUGACCCCGAGUUAAUUACAGAUAAAUCAUAUCUAUGUGUUGAAGAAGAAUAUAUUUUAUUUAAUCCAAUCUAUUAUCUUGCUCUGCUUUCGUGUAAGGAUUCCUUAAUCAUACACCAAUUGAGAGAGGAAUUGAAGCAAACCAAGAAAGAAACUAAUCGAUUUAGACGGUUGCAUCUAAGGCACAACUAUACGGAAAUAGCUUGAUUAUCAACGGAUGUUGUCAAUGACAAGAAGUGGACAAAGAUAAGAAGGCGAAGGCCGAUAGAAGAAACAUUCAGGAUUUAGUAUUUCCUAUCCCCUGCGUGGGACAUCAUUUUUUUUCUCAUGUGAUUUCCCUUUCCCUAAAGAUUGUACCCCCUUUGUGGAACUUUUGUAGGCAUUUAUGCCAUUUAUGUAUAUCUAUGAAAUUGGGGGAUAAUGGAUUGGCUUUAAAA
rnacentral:lncRNA from 1 species